rnacentral:rRNA from 1 species
UGGGGAAUAUUGCGCAAUGGGCGAAAGCCUGACGCAGCGACGCCGCGUGGGGGAUGACGGCCUUCGGGGUUGUAAAACCUCUUUCAGCAGGGACGAAGCGAAAGUGACGGUACCUGCAGAAGAAGCACCGGCCAACCACGUGCCAGCAGCCGCGGUAAUACGUAGGGUGCAAGCGUUGUCCGGAAUUAUUGGGCGUAAAGAGCUCGUAGGCGGUUUGUUGCGUCGGCUGUGAAAACCUGAGGCUCAACCUCAGGCCUGCAGUCGAUACGAGCAGACUAGAGUGUUGCAGGGGAGACUGGAAAUUCCUGGUGUAGCGGUGAAAUGCGCAGAUAUCAGGAGGGACACCGGUGGCGAAGGCGGGUCUCUGGGCAACAACUGACGCUGAGGAGCGAAAGCGUGGGGAGCGAACAGGAUUAGAUACCCUGGUAGUCCACGCCGUAAACGUUGGGCGCUAGGUGUGGGGCCUCAUU